AAAGACUUAGUCCUAACCUUACUGUUAGUUUUUGCUAGGUAUAUACAUGCAAGUAUCCGCGCUCCAGUGUAGAUGCCCUGGACCCCUUAAAUAGGAAGAUAGGAGCGGGUAUCAGGCUCGCCAUAACCGCAGCCCAAGACGCCUUGCAAUUGCCACACCCCCACGGGUAUUCAGCAGUAGUUAAUAUUAAGCAAUGAGUGUAAACUUGACUUAGCCAUAGCAAAUCUAGGGUUGGUAAAUCCUGUGCCAGCCACCGCGGUCAUACAGGAGACCCAAAUUAACUUUAUAACGGCGUAAAGAGUGGUCACAUGCUAUCCAAGUAACUAAGAUUAAAAAGCAACUGAGCUGUCAUAAGCCCAAGAUGCCAAUAAGGCCUCCUACCAAAGAAGAUCUUAGGACAACGAUUAAUUGAACUCCACGAAAGCCAGGGCCCAAACUGGGAUUAGAUACCCCACUAUGCCUGGCCCUAAAUCUUGAUGCUUACACCUACUAAAGCAUCCGCCCGAGAACUACGAGCACCAACGCUUAAAACUCUAAGGACUUGGCGGUGCCCCAAACCCACCUAGAGGAGCCUGUUCUGUAAUCGAUAAUCCACGCUACACCUGACCAUUCCUUGCCAAAACAGCCUACAUACCGCCGUCGCCAGCCCACCUCCCCUGAAGGCCCAACAGUGAGCGCAACAGCCCCACCACGCUAACAAGACAGGUCAAGGUAUAGCCUAUGGAAUGGUAGCAAUAUAGCCUAUGGAAUGGUAGCAAUGGGCUACAUUUCUAAGCUAGAACAUAACGGCAAAGGGGUAUGAAAUAACCCCUGGAAGGCGGAUUUAGCAGUAAAGUGGGACAAUCGAGCCCUCUUUAAGCCGGCCCUGGGGCACGUACACACCGCCCGUCACCCUCCUCGCAGGNNCCCCCCCCCCCCCUNAAAUUAAUAAGCUACUCAGCCAAAGAUGAGGUAAGUCGUAACAAGGUAAGUGUACCGGAAGGUGCACUUAGAUUAC
rnacentral:ncRNA from 1 species